GAAUGAACCAUAGUCCUCCUCUUUGCUUUUGCCUCCUUUGUUCUUCUGCAGUUACAGCAGAAGCGAAUUUUACCUGUAUAGCUCCAACACCUUCAGAGAACAUAAAAUAGCAGUCAUGAGCAAGGAAUAUAGAGAAGUCAUCCACCUCAGUUCCAUCAUCCCUUCUCAAAGAACUAAUCACUGACCACCUUGAACUUGGACAGUGAGGCCAUCAAGGACCAUAGCCAUCAUCAUCGUCAACUCCAUCAUAUUUUAUACUCACAGCUAUUUAGGAAACACUUGUUCAGAACUAUUUGUUUAAAUAUAUAUAGAAAUAAUUGAUAAUGAGUAAGAAUUAACCAUUAGCAAUGUGUAUUGCCAAUAUAUAUCUAUCUAGUAUUGUUUCCCAGUUUGAAACUGGCCAAAGUUUUCAGUCUUUUAAACACUGCUAUCAGUGAUCUCUAAUUCUACUAACUGAGAUUUAUAUAUUUACAUAUAUAUGUAUGUAUACGUAUGUAUCAUCAGUUGCAAUAAGUUCAAGACAACUGUGAUUAUGAAUCGUGAUAGUAAAUAUUAAGAAACGGUGUGCGUAAGACUGAACUUAAAAGUCUGCUAAUGAUGUAGCUCCUGGUUAACUAUAAAUGCAGGCAAAGUGCAUGUAGGUCUGCUUGUGUAAGACUGCAUAGACACGCUGCAGGAAUGGUGCAUUUUCCAAGGCAAUAUGCCUCCAAUCCUUGAUAUGUCAAAAGAAUAUUUAUGUGAUACAAAUAUUUUUACUCCAGCAAAAAUGUUAUAAAUAACAAUCAAACAGACAUGCUUUAAAUAUAACUUGUGUUUUCAAUUUGUCUGAAUAACAUAUUGGACCGUGACAUCUCAAAAGAAGAAAAAUCAACAGAAAUAUACCGAAUAAUAGUUUUUUAACAUGGAUCCUUUUGAUAAAACCAGGCUUGUUCUUUAAUUCGAUUCAUCCUUCUGAACAGACACUUAACAGAUAUUUAUGAUGUGUAGAAAAUAAUAUUAUAGUGGAGUAAAAGAAACCAUUUAUAUCUUAAAUAUUCUUAAUGAUCAAGUAACUUUCUAACAAUUAAAUUUGUUUUGUAUUUGUAACUUUUGGUUUAGAAACAAGACGAAUAUGAGCUAUUAGAGGCCUUUUUGGAAAAGCAGCUUCUUCUUCCAUCUUUAUAUGCCAAUUCACAGAAAUAUUUUAAAAUUGUUAGUAUUGGUCAUACAAUCUUCUCCAGAGUGUAUUAUUUUCUUCUCACAGUUAAUGUAAUGGCAGACCUUUUUUUAAAGUUACUGAAUCAUCAAAGUUGUAGUACAGUAAAAAAAUUAACUUUGUGAUUAUCUAGGAAAAUGCAGUCUGUAGGUUUCUUUGUGAAGAAGCAAGUGGCAACGAUGUAAUGAUUGCAUUUAACAAAGUCUGA